GGGGGAAUAUUGCACAAUGGGGGAAACCCUGAUGCAGCGACGCCGCGUGAACGAAGAAGGUAUUCGUAUCGUAAAGUUCUGUCCUAUGGGAAGAUAAUGACAGUACCAUAGAAGAAAGCUCCGGCUAAAUACGUGACAGCAGCCGCGGUAAUACGUAUGGAGCGAGCGUUGUCCGGAAUUAUUGGGCGUAAAGGGUACGAAGGCGGUUUAAUAAGUCGAAUGUUAAAGAUCGGGGCUCAACCCCGUAAAGCAUUGGAAACUGAUAAACGUGAGUAGUGAAGAGGAAAGUGGAAUUCCUAGUGUAGUGGUGAAAUACGUAGAUAUUAGGAGGAAUACCAGUCGCGAAGGCGACUUUCUGGACACAAACUGACGCUGAGGUACGAAAGCGUGGGGAGCAAACAGG
rnacentral:rRNA from 1 species